rnacentral:rRNA from 1 species
AGGGUUUGAUCCUGGCUCAGAUUGAACGCUGGCGGUAUGCUUAACACAUGCAAGUCGAACGGUAACAUAGCUAGCUUGCUAGCUGAUGACGAGUGGCGGACGGGUGAGUAAUGCAUAGGAAUCUGCCUAUUAGUGGGGGACAACCUGUGGAAACGCAGGCUAAUACCGCAUAAGCCCUACGGGGGAAAGCGGGGGAUCUUCGGACCUCGCGCCAAUAGAUGAGCCUAUGUCAGAUUAGCUAGUUGGUGAGGUAAUGGCUCACCAAGGCGACGAUCUGUAGCUGGUCUGAGAGGAUGAUCAGCCACACUGGGACUGAGACACGGCCCAGACUCCUACGGGAGGCAGCAGUGGGGAAUAUUGGACAAUGGGCGAAAGCCUGAUCCAGCAAUACCGCGUGUGUGAAGAAGGCCUGAGGGUUGUAAAGCACUUUCAAUAGUGAGGAAUACCUGGGGGUUAACACUCCCCAGACUGACAUUAGCUAUA